rnacentral:rRNA from 1 species
GGACUACUGGGGUAUCUAAUCCCGUUUGCUCCCCUGGCUUUCGCGCACUCAGCGUCAGUGUCGGCCCAGCAACCCGUCUUCACCUCAGGUGUUCCUCUCGAUAUCUACGCAUUUCACCGCUACACCGAGAAUUCCGAUUGCCCCUUCCGCACUCUAGCACGACAGUUUCACUUGGCCAUUCUGGGUUAAGCCCAGAGAUUUCACAAGUGACUUGUCACGCCGCCUACGCGCCCUUUACGCCCAGUAAAUCCGAACAACGCUUGGUCCCUACGUAUUACCGCGGCGGCUGGCAC